rnacentral:rRNA from 1 species
UACGUAGGGGGCAAGCGUUAUCCGGAUUUACUGGGUGUAAAGGGAGCGUAGACGGUACGCCAAGUCUGAAGUGAAAUGCCGCAGCUUAACUGCGGAACUGCUUUGGAAACUGGCGGGCUAGAGUGCGGGAGGGGUAAGCGGAAUUCCUAGUGUAGCGGUGAAAUGCUUAGAUAUCAUGAAGAACUCCGAUCGCGAAGGCAAGUGUCCGGGGUGCAACUGACGCUGAGGCUCGAAAGUGCGGGUAUCAAACAGG